rnacentral:rRNA from 1 species
UGAGGAAUCUUGGGCAAUGGGCGAAAGCCUGACCCAGCGACGCCGCGUGGAGGAAGAAGGCCUUCGGGUCGUAAACUCCUGUUCGGGGAGAAGAACAGGAGGGAAGUGAAUAACUUCUCUCCCUGACGGUAUCCUCGGAGAAAGCUCCGGCUAAUUACGUGCCAGCAGCCGCGGUAAUACGUAAGGAGCGAGCGUUGUCCGGAUUUACUGGGCGUAAAGAGCUCGUAGGUGGUUUCUUAGGUCUCACGUGAAAUUCCCUGGCUCAACUGGGGAGGGUCGUGGGAAACCGAGAAGCUAGAGGGCAGGAGAGGAGAGUGGAAUUCCCGGUGUAGCGGUGAAAUGCGGAGAGAUCGGGAGGAACACCAGUGGUGAAGACGGCUCUCUGGACUGUCCCUGACACUGAGGAGCGAAAGCCAGGGGAGCGAACC